AUUGAACGCUGGCGGCAGGCCUAACACAUGCAAGUCGAGCGAGUGGCGGACGGGUGAGUAAUAUAUGGGGAACUGCCCGAUAGAGGGGGAUAACUACUGGAAACGGUGGCUAAUACCGCAUACUAUCGGAUGAACCCAUAUGGGAUUAGCUAGUAGGUUGGGUAAAGGCUCACCUAGGCGACGAUCGCUAGCUGGUCUGAGAGGAUGACCAGCCACACUGGAACGGAGACACGGCACAGACUCCUACGGGAGGCAGCAGUGGGGAAUAUUGCACAAUGGGGGCAAGCCUGAUGCAGCCAUGCCGCGUGUAUGAAGAAGUCCUUAGUGUUGUAAAGGACUUUCAGCGGUGAGGCGUUACCCGCAGAAGAAGCACCGGCUAACUCCGUGCCAGCAGCCGCGGUAAUUC
rnacentral:rRNA from 1 species